rnacentral:rRNA from 1 species
UCGCCGAAUCGGUAUGCGCUAGGCUGCGAGUCGAGAGGUGUAAGACCUCGGCAGACGGCUGAGUAACACGCGGAUAAUCUGCCCUGGAGUGGGGGAUAAUCUCGGGAAACUGAGGAUAAUACCCCAUAGAUGUGGUGUGCUGGAAUGCUUCCACGUUCAAAGCUCCGGCGCUCCAGGAUGAGUCUGCGGCCUAUCAGGCUGUAGUGGGUGUAACGGACCCACUAACCGACGACGGGUAGGGGCGUUGAGAGACGGAGCCCCCAGAUGGAUUCUGAGACACGAAUCCAGGCCCUACGGGGCGCAGCAGCUACGAAAACUGUGCAAUGUGGGAAACCACGACACGGGCAUACCGAGUGCCAAGGCUUUGCUUUGGCUGUUCUUUCGCCUAAAAAGCGAGAGAAGUAAGGGCCGGGUAAGACGGGUGCCAGCCGCCGCGGUAAUACCCGCGGCCCGAGUGGUGCUCAUUAUUAUUGAGCUUAAAGCGUCCGUAGCCGGCCUCGUAAAUCUUUGGGUAAAUCGGGCAGCUUAACUGUUCGAAUUCCGAGGAGACUGCGAGGCUCGGGACCGGGAGAGGUUCGAGGUACUCCGGGGGUAGGGGUAAAAUCCUGUAAUCCUCAGAGGACCACCAGUGGCGAAGGCGUCGAACUAGAACGGAUCCGACGGUGAGGGACGAAGCCCUGGGGCGCAAACGGGAUUAGAUACCCCGGUAGUCCAGGGUGUAAACGCUGCGGGUUUGGUGUCGGAGGUCCUACGCGGGCGUCCGGUGCCGGAGAGAAAUUGUUAAACCUGCCGCUUGGGGAGUACGGUCGCAAGACUGAAACUUAAAG